CUUAAAUGUACAUCUCAGAUGAUUAAAAAAAUAAAUCAAUAGAAUAGAUAUAAAUGUAACUUUGACUAUUUGACACCUCACGUGCAAAGCCCGCGAAAGAACCAGAGGUUAUAUAAGCUGCGGUCGUCACGUGACGCGCACAGCCGGACUCUGAGUGGACAUCGCCUGACCGGAGAGCUUUCACGAGAUUGUCAUCCGAUUGUUCUGCUGCACCCCAAAGGCUCCACAGCACUUGUCACAAGUCUUUGGCUUUAUUUGUCAAGAUCAUCUGAAAAGAGUUCACCUGUGCCAUUGAGCUGGAUGGAGAAACAGAAGUUUAUAAACUGAAGGCAUGGAAGAAGACAAACAACAAAGAAAUUCUUCUUAAGGAUAAACCUGAGGUCCUGGGAGAUCUUAGAGGUUCUAAUGUGUUUUUUAUGCAUUUGUUGAUGUCAAUUUUUCAAUAAUAAAUUCUCAUAUUUUUUACAUUUAUGUUGUCAUUCUUAUUGGGGGGUAUUGAGAGGGAAACUGCACGUGUGUGUGUGUAAUAUUUGUGGAAACAACUGUUAACAAAUAAAGGAGGAAGUCUUUAAUAAUACAUUUUUUGUAUUUUUUAGAGAAUCAAUGAAUUACAUGAACAGUUCUUAUCCAUGUAGGCUAUAUAGCAAACAAGCUAAUAUUGUUUUGGUAAAUUUUGUUGUUAUUAAUUAAAUAAAUAUUGGUUUGUAUUUCAUAUACAUUACCAUUUGGUAUCCAGACUCGGGCCAGUACUGGCUAAUUGUAUAAUCUAUGCUGGCGUGAUUGCGGCCCUAUGCCGGCAGUGUCCAGGGCCGGAGUGGGAUCCAUUUUCAGCCCGUGAGUGUAAUGCUCAAGACCAGCCCAC